rnacentral:rRNA from 1 species
UACGUAGGGGGCAAGCGUUGUCCGGAUUUAUUGGGCGUAAAGAGCUCGUAGGUGGUUCGGUAAGUCGGAUGUGAAAUCUCCAGGCUCAACCUGGAGGGGUCAUUCGAUACUGCCGUGACUAGAGUUCGGUAGGGGAGUGUGGAAUUCCUGGUGGAGCGGUGAAAUGCGCAGAUAUCGGUAGGAACACCCGUGGCGAAGGCGGUCUUCUGGGGUAGUCUUGACGCUGAGGCGCGAAAGCUGGGGGAGCGAACGGG